rnacentral:tRNA from 1 species
GACUCCAUGGCCCAAUGGAUAAGGUGCUGGUCUACGAAACCAGAGACUUUGGAUUCAAUUCCUAGUGGAGUCG